rnacentral:rRNA from 1 species
GAUGAACGCUGGCGGCGUGCUUAACACAUGCAAGUCGAACGGGAAACCUUUUAUUGAAGCUUCGGCAGAUUUAGCUGGUUUCUAGUGGCGGACGGGUGAGUAACGCGUGGGUAACCUGCCUUAUACAGGGGGAUAACAACCAGAAAUGGUUGCUAAUACCGCAUAAGCGCAUAGGACCGCAUGGUCCGGUGUGAAAAACUCCGGUGGUAUAAGAUGGACCCGCGUUGGAUUAGCUAGUUGGCAGGGUAACGGCCUACCAAGGCGACGAUCCAUAGCCGGCCUGAGAGGGUGAACGGCCACAUUGGGACUGAGACACGGCCCAGACUCCUACGGGAGGCAGCAGUGGGGAAUAUUGCACAAUGGGGGAAACCCUGAUGCAGCGACGCCGCGUGAAGGAAGAAGUAUCUCGGUAUGUAAACUUCUAUCAGCAGGGAAGAUAGUGACGGUACCUGACUAAGAAGCCCCGGCUAACUACGUG